rnacentral:rRNA from 1 species
UUCGACACACUAUCAUUAACUGAAUCCAUAGGUUAAUGAGGCGAACCGGGGGAACUGAAACAUCUAAGUACCCCGAGGAAAAGAAAUCAACCGAGAUUCCCCCAGUAGCGGCGAGCGAACGGGGAGGAGCCCAGAGCCUGAAUCAGUGUGUGUGUUAGUGGAAGCGUCUGGAAAGGCGCGCGAUACAGGGUGACAGCCCCGUACACAAAAAUGCACAUAUUGUGAGCUCGAUGAGUAGGGCGGGACACGUGGUAUCCUGUCUGAAUAUGGGGGGA